GACGAACGCUGGCGGCGUGCUUAACACAUGCAAGUCGAGCGGUAAGGCCCUUUCGGGGGUACACGAGCGGCGAACGGGUGAGUAACACGUGGGUGACCUGCCCUCAGCUCUGGGAUAAGCCUGGGAAACCGGGUCUAAUACUGGAUAUGACUCCAUGACGCAUGUUGUGGGGUGGAAAGCCUUGUGCGGCUGAGGAUGGGCCCGNGGCCUAUCAGCUUGUUGGUGGGGNAUGGCCUACCAAGGCGACGACGGGUAGCCGGCCUGAGAGGGCGACCGGCCACACUGGGACUGAGACACGGCCCAGACUCCUACGGGAGGCAGCAGUGGGGAAUCUUGCGCAAUGGGCGAAAGCCUGACGCAGCGACGCCGCGUGAGGGAUGACGGCCUCGGUG
rnacentral:rRNA from 1 species